UGGGGCGUGGUGAAGCGGUAACACAGCGGACUUUGGAUCCGCCAUUCGGAGGUUCGAAUCCUCCCGCCCCAGCUA
rnacentral:tRNA from 1 species